rnacentral:rRNA from 1 species
GACGAACGCUGGCGGCGUGCCUAAUACAUGCAAGUCGAGCGCAGGAAAUCGACGGAACCCUUCGGGGGGAAGUCGACGGAAUGAGCGGCGGACGGGUGAGUAACACGUAAAGAACCUGCCCUCAGGUCUGGGAUAACCACGAGAAAUCGGGGCUAAUACCGGAUGGGUCAUCGGACCGCAUGGUCCGAGGAUGAAAGGCGCUUCGGCGUCGCCUGGGGAUGGCUUUGCGGUGCAUUAGCUAGUUGGUGGAGUAAUGGCCCACCAAGGCGACGAUGCAGAGCCGACCUGAGAGGGUGAUCGGCCGCACUGGGACUGAGACACGGCCAAGACUCCUACGGGAGGCAGCAGUAGGGAAUCUUCCACAAUGGACGAAAGUCUGAUGGAGCAACGCCGCGUGAACGAUGAAGGCCUUCGGGUCGUAAAGUUCUGUUGUAAGGGAAGAACAAGUGCCGCAGGCAAUGGCGGCACCUUGACGGUACCUUGCGAGAAAGCCACGGCUAACUACGUGCCAGCCGCCGCGGUAA